AAAGAUAUAAAUAAAUUUCUAAGGUGGUACAGUUUUGAAAUCUGAACAGAGGGAGUGACUUUAAAAAUUCAUUUUGCUUUACAGAUUCAUCCAAAACUUUUGAAAUUUUAACUCUAUAUACUAUUAGGAGUCUUAUAUACCCCAAAAAAACAGUUUUAGAAAAUACUUAGGAAAUUAGGAUAAAUAAGUAAAAUGGUACAGUAGUGCAGUUUAAAACUCAGAACAGGGGAGGGGACUUCAAAAAUUUCUUAUAAAUUAUCUACUGUGUCAAACACUGCCAAAUAUUAUCUCAAAUGUGUUUUCUAAGUUGGGGUUCUGUUCCAAGUUGAUUCACUAAAUUUGAAAGAGGGAAACGUUAGAUUUCAUUACUAAUUCUAAACUAACUCUAGUUUUGUACAGUUUCGGUAAAUAAUUC
rnacentral:lncRNA from 1 species